GCGGCACAUGUCAGACUCAAAGCUGCGCUAUUGCUGGUCCGGAGAUUGUAAGAUUAUGAGAUCUGAGAACG
rnacentral:snoRNA from 1 species